rfam:Felis catus isolate Cinnamon breed Abyssinian chromosome X, whole genome shotgun sequence.
GCCUGGGUGGCUCAGUCGGUUGAGCAUCCGACUUCAGCUCAGGUGAUGAUUUCCUGGUUUGUGGGUUCGAGCCCUGCAUCGGGCU